rnacentral:rRNA from 1 species
AUACGGAGGAUCCGAGCGUUAUCCGGAUUUAUUGGGUUUAAAGGGAGCGUAGGUGGAUUGUUAAGUCAGUUGUGAAAGUUUGCGGCUCAACCGUAAAAUUGCAGUUGAAACUGGGAGUCUUGAGUACAGUAGAGGUGGGCGGAAUUCGUGGUGUAGCGGUGAAAUGCUUAGAUAUCACGAAGAACUCCGAUUGCGAAGGCAGCUCACUAGACUGUCACUGACACUGAUGCUCGAAAGUGUGGGUAUCAAACAGGAUUAGAUACCCUGGUAGUCCACACAGUAAACGAUGAAUACUCGCUGUUUGCGAUAUACAGUAAGCGGCCAAGCGAAAGCAUUAAGUAUUCCACCUGGGGAGUACGCCGGCAACGGUGAAACUUAAAUGAAUUGACGGGG